ACUCAAAUGAAUUGACGGGGGCCUGCACAAGCGGUGGAGUAUGUGGCUUAAUUCGAUGCAACGCGAAGAACCUUACCUGGCCUUGACAUGCAUUUGGUAGAACCAUGAAAGUGGGACGACCCCGCAAGGGGAGGAUGCACAGGUGCUGCAUGGCUGUCGUCAGCUCGUGUCGUGAGAUGUUGGGUUAAGUCCCGCAACGAGCGCAACCCUUGUGUCCUGUUGCCACCCCCACGAGAGUGGGGAGCACUCUGGACAGACUGCCUCGCUUAAACGGGGAGGAAGGUGGGGAUGACGUCAAGUCAGUAUGGCCCUUACGGCCAGGGCUGCACACGUACUACAAUGCCUUACACAAAGGGAAGCCAGACCGUCAGGUGGAGCAAAUCCCAGAAAAUAAGGCCCAGUUCAGAUUGUCGUCUGCAACUCGACGGCAUGAAGUUGGAAUCGCUAGUAAUGGCGCAUCAGCUACGGCGCCGUGAAUACGUUCCCAGGCCUUGUACACACCGCCCGU
rnacentral:rRNA from 1 species